UGUGACGGUUCGGUAUCAUUGACUACUGCUGUGUACUGCUGUUAUAUUUACAGACGGAUGUCACAGCGAUAUUUUAGAAGAUAAUUCCAAUAAAACGAACGUGACGAGUGUCGAUCAGCUUUGCUAGUGCAAUAUUCUUGCUGUCAAGGUGAAAAAUAAUAGCAGUUUUAGACUUGGAAAAUUAGGACAAUCACGUAUAGACUUUCCGAAUUUUCACGUUAUUGCGACAAAUCAGAUUUUGCGGUAUUUUCAUCUUUCAGCGCUAAACCUAACAAUUAUCCAUAAUUUAAUAUAAUAAGAAUAAUAAGCUUUGAAUUAUUAAGAAAAAUUGCUUUUGGUCUGAAAUAAUCUAGUAUUUGUUCAAGAUGGAGCAAGAUGCGCAAGAAGAGUUGCAAUUUGUGGUAGAUGAUGUGAGCACCAUUAUCAAGGAAGCGAUUGAAGUGUCAAUAGGUGGCAAUACUUAUCAGCAUAAUAAAGUUAAUCAAUGGACUUCGAACGUGGUAGAAGCUUGUUUGGGCAAUCUUACAAAAUUACAGAAGGCUUAUAAAUAUAUUGUGACUUGCACAAUCAUGCAGAAAAACGGAGCUGGACUUCAUACUGCAAGUUCAUGUUACUGGGAUAAUGCUACUGAUGGCAGUUGCACAGUGCGCUGGGAAAAUAAAACCAUGUAUUGUAUUGUAUCUGUUUUUGGAUUGGCUCUAUAAAUUUAUGUCUGCGUAACAAAUUUUGCGUUUGAAAAGAAUUCAAUAUUUUGGCAAUUAUGAGAAAUUGCAGAAAUUAGGGAAAUAGCAGACAGAGUAUGACUGUGCUUAAAAGUUACACAACGCAAUGAUUAAUAUAUGUAAUAUACUAAAAUUGGACAUGUAUACACAAAAUAGAUUGUGCUGAGAUAUAUUUAACUUUCUUAUAUUUAUUUUAACGAAGAAUGAUAUUUUU